AACGAACGCUGGCGGCAGGCUUAACACAUGCAAGUCGAGCGCCCCGCAGGGGGAGCGGCAGACGGGUGAGUAACGCGUGGGAAUCUACCCAUCCCUACGGAAUGGCUCCGGGAAACUGGAAUUAAUACCGUAUACGCCCUACGGGGGAAAGAUUUAUCGGGGAUGGAUGAGCCCGCGUUGGAUUAGCUAGUUGGUGGGGUAAAGGCCUACCAAGGCGACGAUCCAUAGCUGGUCUGAGAGGAAGAUCAGCCACAUUGGGACUGAGACACGGCCCAAACUCCUACGGGAGGCAGCAGUGGGGAAUAUUGGACAAUGGGGGCAACCCUGAUCCAGCCAUGCCGCGUGAGUGAUGAAGGCCUUAGGGUUGUAAAGCUCUUUCACCGGGGAAGAUAAUGACGGUACCCGGAGAAGAAGCCCCGGCUAGCUUCGUGCCAGCCGCCGCCGUAA
rnacentral:rRNA from 1 species